UAGGGAAUCUUCGGCAAUGGACGGAAGUCUGACCGAGCAACGCCGCGUGAGUGAAGAAGGUUUUCGGAUCGUAAAGCUCUGUUGUAAGAGAAGAACGAGUGUGAGAGUGGAAAGUUCACACUGUGACGGUAUCUUACCAGAAAGGGACGGCUAACUACGUGCCAGCAGCCGCGGUAAUACGUAGGUCCCGAGCGUUGUCCGGAUUUAUUGGGCGUAAAGCGAGCGCAGGCGGUUAGAUAAGUCUGAAGUUAAAGGCUGUGGCUUAACCAUAGUACGCUUUGGAAACUGUUUAACUUGAGUGCAAGAGGGGAGAGUGGAAUUCCAUGUGUAGCGGUGAAAUGCGUAGAUAUAUGGAGGAACACCGGUGGCGAAAGCGGCUCUCUGGUCUGUAACUGACGCUGAGGCUCGAAAGCGUGGGGAGCGAACAGGAUUAGAUACCCUGGUAGUCCACGCCGUAAACGAUGAGUGCUAGGUGUUAGACCCUUUCCGGGGUUUAGUGCCGCAGCUAACGCAUUAAGCACUCCGCCUGGGGAGUACGACCGCAAGGUUG
rnacentral:rRNA from 1 species